AAGUCGUAACAAGGUUUCCGUAGGUGAACCUGCGGAAGGAUCAAUGCGAAUCAGACAGGGGAGAGUGAGAUGCGUUGGAAUGUGCACGGAGAGAGACAAGUAUCGACUGUUUUUUUUUUUUGACGAUCUGUAUGACUUGCCACCCGGGAUCUCUGGGCUCUU
rnacentral:misc_RNA from 1 species